GACGAACGCUGGCGGCGUGCUUAACACAUGCAAGUCGAGCGGUAAGGCCCUUUCGGGGGUACACGAGCGGCGAACGGGUGAGUAACACGUGGGUGACCUGCCCUCAGCUCUGGGAUAAGCCUGGGAAACUGGGUCUAAUACCGGAUAUGACUCCAUGACGCAUGUUGUGGGGUGGAAAGCCUUGUGCGGCUGAGGAUGGGCCCGCGGCCUAUCAGCUUGGUUGGUGGGGUGANGGCCUACCAAGGCGACGACGGGUAGCCGGCCUGAGAGGGCGACCGGCCACACUGGGACUGAGACACGGCCCAGACUCCUACGGGAGGCAGCAGUGGGGAAUCUUGCGCAAUGGGCGAAAGCCUGACGCAGCGACGCCGCGUGAGGGAUGACGGCCUGG
rnacentral:rRNA from 1 species